rnacentral:lncRNA from 1 species
CUUUUCUUUCUUGGGAGAUUUUUGAUUACUGAUUCAGUCUCCUUAUACAUUAUUGGUCUGCUGAGAUUUUCUAUUCUUCAUAAUUUAAUUUUGGUAGGUGGUAUGUUUCUAGUAAUUUGUUCAUUUCUUAUAAGUUAUCUAAUUUAUUGGCAUAUAAUUAUUCAUAGUUGUCUCUUAUGAUCUUUUGAAUUUCCGUGGUAUGAGUUGUAAUGUCUCUUCUUUAAUUUAAAAUUUUACUUGAAUUCUCUCUUUUCCUAAAUUAGUCUAGCCAAGGGUUUGUCGACUUUCUCUUUUCAGAAAACCAACUCUUAGUCUCAUUGAUCUUUCUACUGUUUUUCUAUAAUAGUCUCUAUUUUCUCUAUUUUAUUUUUCCUGCUCUAAUUUUUGUUAUUUUCUUCCUUUGCUAACUUGAGGCUUGGCCUAUUAUUCUCUUACCUCCUUGAGGUAUAAAGUUAGGUUGUUUAGUUGAGAUAUUUCAUUUUUCUUAACGUAAGUUUUUUGAUUUUUUGCUUGUUUGUUUUUAAGACAGGGUCUUGCUCUGUUGCCCAGGCAGAAGCACAGUGAUGUGAUCAUGGCUCACUGCAGCCUCAACCUCCUGAGCUCAAGUGAUCCUUCCAUCUCAGCCUCCCAAGUAACUGGGACCACAGGCAGAUGCCACCAUGCCCAGUGACUCCGUUCACAUGCUCCCGUCUUGUCAUCAAGCCCUGUUCAUCUCUCACCAUCUCUCACCUGGACCAUUGCCAGUUUCUGAGCUGCCUGCUCUUGAAUACCAGCUUCCUGAAAAUAUCACCAAAACGAUCUGGUCCUCAGACAAAGCAGAGUCUAUUGCUCACUGCAGUAACAGAGAGCUCCGUCUUCAGAGUCUUGGUAACAUUUCGCUGAGAGGACAACCCAAUCACACUGUUUAGGAGAUUUUGGAUUCUGACUAAGGUGCCUGGAGCAAAAAUGUGUCCAGAAUUGGUGGGUUGUUGGUCUCGCUGACCUCAAGAACGGAGCCGUGGACCCUCGCGGGACAAGGGGAGUCAGAGGCAGAAGAGAAGGUGUUGUGAUGACAGAAGCAGAGAUCUGAGUGACUCACUUUGAAGAUGGAGGAAGAGGUCACAGGCCAAGUGAUACAGAUGCCAGGAGAAGCUGAAAACAGGAGGAAAUGGAUUCUUCCCUCAGAGCUUCUGGAAAAGAUCAGUCUUGCUGAUAACUUGACUUUAGCCCACUGAAACUGAUUUUGAACUUUUGACUUCCAGAACUACAGGGUCUCAUUAUUGUUGCCCAGACUCAUCUCAAACUC